GGUGGAUUUCCUGGAAUGGAUUCAGAGGUUAGAGAACGGAUUAGUGUGUUAGAAUGGUUUAUAAGACGGACACGGAAUAAUUUUUAGGAAUUUUUAGCUUCUUGAACAGUUAAAAUUGUUUAGACUGAAUAUAAGGUGUGGUUUGAAACGUACGGAGGAACGCAUGUAAUCAUUCGUAAUGAGGUCAAUUAGAAUGUUUUGGAUUUUGUAAGUAUUGGAUUUUUUUGCUGCUCCCCACAGUUGGAUUCCGUGUAACCAAAUUGGCUUAAAG